GAUAGGAGAGAUUGAACGGGUUUUUAUUGAUAAAGAUUGUGGCAUGUUCAUUUUAGCUAAGGUGGCAAGUGUGGAGUAAGCUUGAGGCUAGGCUUUUGAUGGAUGUCAUGGUUAUUUGAAGCAUUUCGUGUUGUGUUUGUGAAAGUGGUUGUGUGAUGGUUUAUCUAGGUUUGUAGGUGGGGAAUUAUUGAAGUGAAGUCUUGUGCAUGGCUUAGUUAAUUGGAAAAGUUAGUGAGUGUUUUCUUAAGAA
rnacentral:lncRNA from 1 species